rnacentral:rRNA from 1 species
AGUGGCGAACGGGUGAGUAAUAUAUCGGAACGUACCUAGUAGUGGGGGAUAACGUAGCGAAAGUUACGCUAAUACCGCAUACGUCCUAAGGGAGAAAGCAGGGGAUUCGCAAGAACCUUGCGUUAUUAGAGCGGCCGAUAUCGGAUUAGCUAGUUGGAGAGGUAAAGGCUCACCAAGGCAACGAUCCGUACCUGGUCUGAGAGGACGACCAGGCACACUGGAACUGAGACACGGUCCAGACUCCUACGGGAGGCAGCAGUGGGGAAUUUUGGACAAUGGGGGCAACCCUGAUCCAGCCAUGCCGCGUGCAGGAUGAAGGCCUUCGGGUUGUAAACUGCUUUUGUUAGGAAUGAAAAGCUAUCCAAUAACACUGGAUAGUGCUGACAGUACCUAAAGAAUAAGCACCGGCUAACUACGUGCCAGCAGCCGCGGUAAUACGUAGGGUGCAAGCGUUAAUCGGAAUUACUGGGCGUAAAGCGUGCGCAGGCGGUUAUAUAAGUCAGAUGUGAAAUCCCUGGGCUCAACCUAGGAACUGCAUUUGAGACUGUAUAGCUAGAGUGUGUCAGAGGGGGGUAGAAUUCCACGUGUAGCAGUGAAAUGCGUAGAGAUGUGGAGGAAUAUCAAUGGCGAAGGCAACCCCCUGGGAUAACACUGACGCUCAUGUACGAAAGCGUGGGGAGCAAACAGGAUUAGAUACCCUGGUAGUCCACGCCCUAAACGAUGUCUACUAGUUGUUGGGGCUUUCGAGCCUUAGUAACGCAGCUAACGCGUGAAGUAGACCGCCUGGGGAGUACGGUCGCAAGAUUAAAACUCAAAGGAAUUGACGGGGACCCGCACAAGCGGUGGAUGAUGUGG